CUCGGUUCUCAGGAGAACGUUGACAUUCUGAAUGUCAAUCCUCGUGUUAUUUGUGUUUAGUGGAAUUUAUUGUUAUAGUUACGCCUAUUGGGGAUAUGAAUGAGUUGUGAAGAUACAGAAAAGCAGACACCAUAAGCAAAAAACUACAAUAUCUACAGUUGCAUAUAAAGAAAAGCAGGUUAAUCUGUCUUCGUAAAUUAUGUCAGAAGUUCAGAUGUCAGGCAUUCCAGAAAAUGCACAUGUAUUACACCUUUGGAUCUGGAUGCUGGAAAGGAGAUUCUGGUUGUCGUAUGACUGAGAUGAUGAGGUGUGAAUGGAUGUGCCGAGCUAAGAAUGGACCUUACACCACUAGCCGCAGGUGUUCAAUUUGGUAAGUGUUAAAAUUAUUUUCC